UCAGGGAGAGGGCAGCCUUGGCUUCAUUCAGAAUCAAAUGACAUUAUUUCCUCUUACCCAAUAUUAGUCAUAUGCUCAUCCCCUUUUUUUAUAGUAGAUGAACAGCUCUGUUUGGAUCUCCCUGAACUUCAAAAAGACCUUUGUAUGCAGAGCUGUUGCAGAGAGGCAAAUGAUUAUGGGAUCAUUUAUUUAUAUUAUUAUGGCACAAUAGAAGUCACUUUGGUCCUUGAAUGUGUUCCAGUGACUCAAGAUAUUUUUUCCGAUGUUUUCUGACCUCUGCUCCUUUUCAAAUUCUCCCAUCUCUGAUAAAUUAGCUUCAAAACCACAGAAAAACCACAGCUGUGUUUGUUCAUCAGGGGCAUGAAGAAUGAAAGUAACUGUUUUCAUGAGGAAUCUUCAAAGGAGAGAAGCAGGCAACGUGGCUCCCAGGAAAAUGGCUUGAACAGAACCCAUGAGAGGAAGGCUGUCAGUUCAUGGAAGGGUUAUUCAUGAAUGCUUGUAGUAAAUCAGGUAUACCAGAAACCCUGGCCACAGAAAAAGCAGAGCCACACUGAGAGCUGACAGUGGCAAUGGGGACCCCACAAGGACAACUGUACUGCUGAUUACAGAACAACCAGUCCAGAUGGAGCAGGAGGACCCACAGAUAAUUUAUCAUUGAGGUCUGGCAGCCAAGAUGGCCGAAUAGGAACAGCUCUGGUCUACAGCUCCCAGCGUGAGCGACGCAGAAGACGGGUGA
rnacentral:lncRNA from 1 species